CUAGGGAUCCAUAGUUCCAAUUCUCUGGAAGCUUUCAUCCUUCUGAGUGCUUCUGGACUUGAAAGCUCCUCAUUAGGUUGUCUGACCUACGUUCCCGGCUCAUUUUUACCUCAAGGUCUCAAUAGAUCAUUUUGUUAAGGAGAUAGAAUAUUCCAGAUGGGUAUUCUAUUGCCUUUCAGGCCUUUCUUGAGAAUAGAUGGAUGUCGAGGGAUCAUUCAAACCUGGCUUGUCUUGUUAGUUGACUUUCUGCAGUUUGCAGAGCAGGAGACACAAGGUGGAAACUGAACCGCACUGUCCUAGAUUCGGAAGUUUCUAGUUAUGAAUCCUUGUGCUAACCAGGAGAAAAAGUUCUUCCCAAGGAUGCCCUUAUCAAGUGAUGCUGCUCCUCCUGGACUCAACCAGUUUCUAUUCAACAGUCCCUGCUUUGCCUUGUGCGUGACGGACCUGGUGAGAGUGAGACACUUGUCACCCUAGAAAAUGAUGAAGAACCAUGGCCAGGAGUGGGGGUGACUUGCCUGAUGCCACACAGAUGGCAGCAGCAGACUCUUACUUGUGGUGAUGGAUGGAUUCCCAAGGGAUCCCCAAGACCCUCGACUUCAGAAGUUUGCAAGGAGGCGGCCCUGGGUGUGCGCAUCUUGGAGACGCAGCCACAGCAGCAUCUGAAAGGCUCUGAGGCUGAGGCCAGAGCCCCGAUCAAUGCAGCGCUUCCUAAACUUCUUUUGUCAAGGAACCCUCCUUUUGGUGUUUUUGUUUUUGUUUUGUUUUGUUUGUCGUCUUGUUGUUUGUUAUAACAUCUAUUGAUGUUCCUUAAGGAUCCACUUUGAGCCAUCCUGACUUGGCUUAAACCCCUGUUCUGCAGACAAGGGUCCUGAGGUCCUGGGACAGGAAGGCCUUGGCCAAGGACGUAGCGGCCAAGGACGUAGGCGAUGGAUCUUCCCUGGAGGGGCGGUGGCAAUGCUCCUCUGCCCCAGCCGUGGCCUCACCCUCAGCAGGAGGUCAGAUGGGUGUUUCCCGAGUCAGGGUAGGGAGCCUAGAGAUGAGAAAGAAGCCAAGUAGCCCCUCCGCCCAUUCACCCCCCUUGAGGCAGAGGGAUGUGAGGAGUUGGCCCCCAUGUCUCCCCAGCCUGAGACUUGGCUGAUUUCUGCCAUCCUGCAGGCCAGCCUGGGCAGACACGGUCAGCUAUGGUAGAAGCAGGAAGUGAGGCUGCUAGUCCUCCUCUGCCCCCAGCUCCAGGCACUCUGCGUUUCAAAGGCACAGAAAGGCUGUGGCCGAUCCAGAGUGUGAGUGCACCCGUGGCUGAGAGAGGUGUUCAGGAGAUGUGGCCAGAAGUGGCCACGAGGUGUCUGGAUGGCAGGGCUAGAUCCAGGCUGGAAGGGCAGCCCCUCCUGGGAGGAGCAGGUCUCUCCCUUGUUCUCUGAUUGCUGCAGUGGCUGUUCACAUCCUUGGAGCCCCAAGCAGCCUCCUCAGUGCAGGAGCUCUGGGCCACCCCCGCCUCACCUCCUAGACAUCAACUCCCAGCCUGCUGCUGAGUCUGAGAGCCCAGGAGGAUCCUGAAACCAUCAGUCUGUAGCUGUAGCUGCAAACUUGAGCCAGCAUCAGGAUCAUCUUGACAUCUCGGUGAAACACAGAUUGCUGUCCCCACCCCCAGAGUUUCUGACUCAGAAGGUCUGGGGUGUGGUCUGAGAACCUGCAUUUCUAGCAAGUUCCAGGGACUGCUGGUGCUGCUGGUCCAGGGACAACAUUUUUCGAGCCUUUGCUGUUAAGGAAAAGGUGGACCCUCUCUGGUGUUAGUGAAAACACCAGGCAGUUUGGAAAUUGGGAUGGCACAUUUCUACAAAGUAUUUCAGAGCUAAGCAAUAGUCUGUUCUGGAGAAACCUGAAUGAUAUCCCUCCAAAAGGAGAGCUUGGAGACUGAUAGAAUUCAGACGACUCAGGAAAGAGAGGAGGUUUAACUCAGCUUGGAAUCUAAAAGAAGAAAUCUCUCUGCAAAGAAACAUCAGCAAUUGGCUUGGGUUUGCUUGAGGGCGGGACACAUAUCUGAGGUUUGUUGUCAGAGGGUGUAUUCGCUUCCUCAGGCUGCCCUGGCAAAUAACCACCAACGGGGUGGCUCGAAACAGCAGAAGUUUAUUCUCUCACAGUUCUGGAGGCAAGUCUGAAAUCAAGUAUCAGCAGGUUGGUGCUGCCCCCUGAGGCUCCGGGGACAGUGUGUUCCUUGCAUCUUCCAGCUUGCAGGGGCCGCCUGGCAUUCCUUGGUGGUUUGGGUUUGUGGCUGCAUCACUCCAGUCCCUGCUUUUGUUCUCACGUCGCCUUCUCCUCUGCAUCUAUCUGUGACGAAUCUCCCUCUGUCUCUCUCUUGUAAUGACACUUGUCACUGGACUUAGUCCAGGAGAAGCGCUUCCUCUCAAGAUCCUUAACUUAAACAUAUCUUUUGCCUAAUAAAAUCAUAUCCACUCUUUUGCCAUUUAAGAUACUGUUCAUAGAUUCUGGGGACUAGGAAGGGAGUGCUUCUUUGGAGAGCCGUUUUUUCACCCUGCCACAGUGGGAUGCUGUAGCCUGUUCACACUGGUUUGCAAGACCUUAUGUUGUAAAACAGCCAUUACUAAAAAAUUUAAUGAGAUAA